CGUGCAGGCUGUUUGGAAAGUUGGAUGUGAAAGCUCCUGGCUUAACUGGGAGAGGUCGUUCAAAACUACCAAACUAGAGAAUGGGAGAGGGAAGUGGAAUUCCGGGUGUAGUGGUGAAAUGCGUAGAUAUCCGGAGGAACACCAGUGGCGAAAGCGGCUUCCUGGACCAUUUCUGACGCUUAGACGCGAAAGCUAGGGGAGCGAAC
rnacentral:rRNA from 1 species